UACGUAGGGUGCAAGCGUUAAUCGGAAUUACUGGGCGUAAAGCGUGCGCAGGCGGUUAUAUAAGACAGUUGUGAAAUCCCCGGGCUUAACCUGGGAACUGCAUUUGUGACUGCAAGACUAGAGUGUGUCAGAGGGGGGUGGAAUUCCACGUGUAGCAGUGAAAUGCGUAGAGAUGUGGAGGAACACCGAUGGCGAAGGCAGCCCCCUGGGAUAACACUGACGCUCAGGCACGAAAGCGUGGGGAGCAAACAGG
rnacentral:rRNA from 1 species